rnacentral:lncRNA from 1 species
AUGUGCAUGUGUGGCGAAUGAAUGGUGUAUGGUGAUGAUGGUGAUAACAAUGGUGAAAACAAUGGUGGUGGAAGUCUAAUUCUACUUUUGCUCUUUUGAGGGGAUACAUACCUUUCUUGCUUUUGAAACUUUAUGAGGAGAAUGAGAUGCUCUUCUUUUUCUUGUCUCUCAGGUGGGUAUCUUGCACCCCUAAUUCUACUGUCGGACACUUGUCCAUUUUUACCUCUCGUCUCACUUUUUCUUUUCUUUCGAGGUUCCGAGCACUUGCUCCUUUUUAUUUCCUCGUAUUAUUUUCUCUCUUUUAUUUUUAGAGCACUCAUCUCUUGAGAUAAUAUAGCAAGUGGUAGUAACAAGAUAACUUGAGCAUUUAUUUCACAAAGGGGAAAACAGAAAAUAUUUUUGGUUAUUCUCUCCCGGAUUAGGAGUGGAAUAUUUUCAGGUGGUUUUGGAGAUGGAAUGGAUGGAUAUAUAUGGAUGGUACUUCCAGAGUAGAAGUAGCAUAUAUGUGUGAACGUGCAAGUGAAAUCUUGAUUUAACCACAUGACAAGCUCCUAAGGGUCUACACAGCUUGACCACACUCAAUGCUCAUAAGCAGUAAAUAAUAAAUGUGUGGCUCAAAGUCUAGCAAGCAUGUAUAUAUGGCUGUGGUAGGAAUUUUAAGCUCUCAUCAUACAGGAACUCAUCAUGCAACAUUUUAAAGAUUUUCAAAGAUAAAAUUCUCUAGAAUUCUAGCAUCUCUAGGAACAGAUAAACAGCAGCUCAGCCUUCCCAUAUCUUAUCCGUUAACAACUUAGACUUCAGAUCAAAUUUUCAUCCCACAAGUUUAGGUCUAGAGCAAGCUUUAAAUUAUAACAGUUAUAUCUAAACUUGAGAGAGAACUUAAAAUGUGCAAAUUAGGCAGAGCAACUAUUCAUCAUAUCCAUGCUUAAGUUUUAUUUAGAUACAAAUUAGCAUAGCCACUUUAUUUAUUUAUUAAUCACACUAAGCAAAAGACAUAUAUAUAUAAAAUCUUUAUUUGGUUUUCCCAUAGUUUAUGUGUAUUUUAAUAUUCUAAAAUAAUAUAAGUAUAAAGAUAGAUAGAAAUACUUAUCGGGAUAAAUGGGGGUGCUCUCCCCCAAGCUGAAUUUUGACGUAAUUUCUCUUGAUGUAGCUAACAGGUGGCAGAGGUGUAUUUGAAAGUCAGCAGCAUUCUGACAGCGAUUAGAAUGUCCUCCUUCUGCUAGUCUUCUUAAAUUCUGUGGAGCUCAAAUAGACAACAAAGCUUGUGGAACUGAUUAAGUGUUAGCAUAAAUAUAUAGCCUUCAUCAUCUUGAGACUCCUUAAUAAUUAUUACUCCCUGUUUUUAUAUUUUUAUUUUAUAAAGCAGAAAAAUAUUUAUUCUAUUUUUAUGCCACCACAGUGAAUGUACUUAUGGGUUUUAUGCCACUCGUCUACUCACAUGGGGCUUACUGUUUUUUUCACAUUUUUAUUUUCUUUUUAAGAUAAUACGAACAUGAUUAACUAAGUAAACUAUUUGAAAUAAUUGGAAGGAAAGGAUAACUACCAAGUUUACCUCUUGGCAAGGCGUUCGGUGUUUUUAAGUCCUCCGAACGGGACUCUCCAAUUUCCUAAUCGUCCUGAGGUUCGUUGGGUGGCGUAGUCGGUACUUCCGGCAGCGCCUCCUCUUCUUGUAUAGUUAUCUUCAUUUUCCACACCUGACUUGGUGCUUCAAUCUCCUCUGGAUAAUUCUGUUUAAACUCAACGUCUUCUGACCUUACAACUUCUCCUUCAUAGUCUGUCCAUCCAUCCUUGAUGAUCUGCCUCCUCUGGUUGCGGUUGCGUCGCUUUCUUACCUGCUUAGAUUCUUCAACGAUAUAGUCAGGGUCAGUAAAAUAACGGCGUACCUUCUCUUAGGGGAAGUGCAUAUGGACUUCUCCGGUUCCAAUGUAGAUAAUUGCUUUAACGGUGCUGAGGAACGGCCUUCCAAGGAUGAUGGGUGGAUCAUACUCGUGUUCUCCCAUGUCAACAACUUGAAAGUCUGUGUAGACAAAGUGAUGAAUGUAUGUUGGUCUUAGGGGCAUGGUCCCGAACAAAAGCCGAAAGGUGACUGCGGCCAUUAUGUUGACGCCUGAUCCGGUGUCACAAAUCGUCUUGUAGAAGUUGUAUCCAUUUAUGGAGCAGUAAAUGCUUGGCAUUCCUGGGUCAUCCUUCUUGGUCAAAAACGGUGACUUAAGUUGGUGAUCUUGGCCUCCAUGGACUACAGUGACCAUCUUAGCUGACUCGGUCCACACUUGCUUGUUCCUGUUCCUCCUGUUGGUCCUCUUCCUUGAUUCACGUCUGGAUUGAUUUGGAAUUUGUGUAGUCUUGUUCUUGAAGAAAAAUGUCUCCUUCUUCCCUUUGACAUAGAAACUGAUCUUGGCAGCACUGGCGUAGAUGAUAGCUCCCGUGGUGUUCAAAAAUGGCCUUCCUAAGAUGAUAGGUGCUCUCUCAUCAUUUCCGGUCUCUACCACUACGAAGUCUGCUGGGGCAUAUAAGGUACCAACUCGGACACAAAGGUUCCUCACUAUUCCUCUUGGAAAAGUUAUCGUCUGAUCUGCAAACUGCAAACACAUGGUUGUCUCUAAUAAAGGAUAUGUAAAGAAUUUUUCAUAGAGUACCCUGGGUAUAAUGUUGACACUGGAGCCAAAGUCAUAGAGUGCUUCUGGGAAGUCCACCAUGCCGAUGGAGAUCGGGAUGACGGGUCGUCCUGGAUCGCCUCUCUUGACCGGCAGACGGUCAGUAGAAAAUUCAGUGACGGGGUUACUCCAAUUACCUGCAUCAAGCAUGUCUACAAGAUUUGCAGAUUCUAAUCCUUCCGGUUGUGAUGGUAUACUGGGUUUAGUAGUAGGAACAGCAGCAGCUAUUUGAUUUAACUGAGAUUCAAUCAUUUUAUUAAAGCUAAUUUGAUUCUUGAUGGCAGUAGAAAAAUUAUCCAUUCUAUUAUUUAUAUUUUCUAGCAUUCUAUCAUUAGAUGCCAAUUUCUUAGAUAGGUUAUCCAUUAGCUUUCCUUGAUUAGACACUAACUCUCUCAAAGGUGGAAAAUUAUUAUUAUUGUUGUAAGAAUUGUUACCUUGAUAAUUACCUGAGUAGUUAGGCCUCUGUUGAUUCCAACCUUGAUUUUGUUGAGGACGGUUGUAGUAGUAGUUGUUGUUGUUGAUGUAGUUCACAUCCUCAAGCAUCUCAGGGCAGUGGUUGCCUGAGUGUCCAGUGUCUCCAUACUCCUCACAAGUCAUGUGAGAGUCGUAGAUGUGCAUAACUUCUUUCUUGUCUCCAGCUCUAUCGUCGAGCUUCUUCAUGAGCAGGUCUAGCUUUGCAGACAGCAUGUCUACCACUUUCAGCUGAUGCAUACCUCCACCUCUCUUGCGUGUCUGGGUCCUCUCUUCAUUCCAGCUUUGAUUGGACGCCAUCUUCUCUACAAGAGCUGUGGCUUGUGGUAUAGUAAGUGAUAAGAAUGCUCCUCCAGCUGCAGCAUCCAUGGUCUCUCGGGCACUGUUGCUGAGCCCAUGAUAAAACGUCUGCAUCAAUAGCCAACUCUCCAUUCCAUGAUGGGGACAUUCUAGGAUGUAGUCUUGAAAGCGCUCCCAUGCCUCUGGAACAGAUUCAUCAUUUUGUUGCUGAAAACUUGUAAUCUUCCCACGGAGAGCAUUGGUCUUGCCCAUGGGAAAGAACUUUGCUAGGAUGUUUGUUGAGCAGAGUGCCCACGUAGUAUUCUUCUCCUUUGUAGCGUAGAACCACUGCUUCGCUCUUCCUAACAGUGAGAAUGGGAAGAGGCGAAGUAGUAUAGCGUCUUUGGAAACUCCUGCUAUGGUGAAUGUGUUGCAAAUCUCCAGGAAGUGUUGUAAAUGAGCACUAGCAUCUUCGUGUGCCUUCCCACAGAACUGGUUGGAUUGCACCAUGUUGAUAAGUCCAGGCUUGAGCUCAAAGUUGCCAUCGAUCUCUGCAGCAGGUCCAGUGCGGAUGUUGUCCGUAGUGGGAGCUGAGAACUCGCGGAUUGAUUUGUUCGCCAUGGCUUCAAACUCUGAAGACAAGUUCCGGUGAUCUUCUUGAUUGGAUGAAGCUUCUUGCUGAAGUGUUGAUGAUUUCUUUAGCUUGGCUCUCGUCUUCUUGAAUAAUGCUUCGGGAUCGUCAACAAAAUUCCCUGGAAGAUGUCUUCUAUUCAUACAUUCCCCUGCAUAAGAUAAAAUAGAAAAAUAUCGGGGUAAAACUGUAUGAGAGAAUAGAUAAGCUCAAUCAUAUUAGUGAUGCGAAUGAUUACUCUAUAUCUUUUAUUCCAUUUCUGAUUGGUAAUCAACAUUCCCCGGCAACGGCGCCAAAAAUGCUUGUUGGGUAUUCUUAACAUCAUUACUAAAGGUAGACUAAGUUCUCUAAAUCUAGCAACGGUGCCAAAAAUGCCAAACCUAUCCCUCACACCACUUAAGCCAAGUUGUCAUCCCCAGCAUGAUAUAAGAGACGCGGUAUUGAAAUAUGCAAUUGCUCUUCUAAAUAAAUAAUGAAUGGGAUCUGCAAGCGCACAGAUUAAUACCGAUGUAGCAUUUUAACCGGGAAGUAUUCCAGGUAUCGUUAUUUAUAUUUUUACCACUGGGAAGGGAUUAGAAAUCAUCACUAAUGAUUACAGAAUAGAAUAUGAGAUUGAGAAUCUAUCAUUGCAUGUAUAAUUGAGAACAUUAUAUCUAACUCAUCAUACAGGGAUAAGUGUCACAUAAAAGAUAUAUGAAAUAAUAAUAGUGACAAGGAUAACUAAUCUGAUCUAGCCACAUAAUAAAUAUGAUAAGCACCUCAAUUAGAUACUCUAGAAAGUCAUUAGCAUGGUAUUAGAACGAACUACAAGAAUAUUCCCUAAGUUAUUCUUAACUAUAUAGUCUAGCAUAUCAUAGUUAGUGCAAGCAUACUUAGCAAUCAUUGUGAGACAAGACUACGCCCAUGCAUAGUGAUAUUAGCAAGGAAUAUGAGAAACAUAGCAAUCACUCCCCUGUAAUAAUGUUGCUCUGCCAGCCCAAUACACAAGAGGGGGACUAUAUAAGAAUCAAUGAAGCUGUCACUAUCACGAACCACCCCACGAUCUGGCAUAUUGGGUACAAUCGCAGAUAAAUACGGUAUAAGCACCACGCCUACACAAUAUCUAUCAUUUACCCAUGGAUCCGAUGGAUAAACGCUAUACGAUCCUAAGCAUGUAUAUAGAUCGUAUCUAACUAAGCCAAGUACAUAACUAUGAUAAACUAAGAACAAUAUAAUCUUGAAUAUAAGCAAGUAGAGCAAAGUCAUAAGCAAUAUAUUGAAGUAUAACAAAGUCAUAUUCAUAAUAUUGAAGAACAAAGAUAAUUAGAAAGCAAUUAGAAGCACAAUUAGAGAAUUACCAAGAAUCCUCUUGACAGAUCCGGAAACCAAUCGAAGAUUGACUCCUUCUAGUUCUAAUCCUAUGUAGCUAUGCUAAUCUAGAUAUCUAAUUGAUGUGGUGGCUCUAAUCUUGAUCAGAGGCUUCUUCUCCCUUGAUGGAACAAUGAAUUAGGGUUGAGAGGCUCUCUCCUCCAGGGGCCAGGGGGUCUGGUUUUAUAGUCCCUUCAAGUGAAUAUGGGCCCUUGGAUCAAACCGACAUAGAUUGUAUGGUUUAGAUUCAUCCUUUAGGUCGGUGGAGACUUCCCGCAAAGCAGAGUCCUGUUUGGACUCCAACAGGGGGCGGGCGCCCAGUAGGACAGGGCGGGCGCCCUGCCUCUGGCCCCGUUUCGCCUCCGCUUCGGUCUCGUGGCUUCUGGAGUCUUCUAGAUGUAAGAUAAUUGCACAGCACGUUAAUAUCUUUACGUAAUCCUGACAUGUGGGCCUUUCUUCCAUAUUUCCUGAUAACCCCCUGCAGAAAUAGACAAACACCAAAACUCGUGGAAUUCUGUCAGAUAAAACCCUAAGUCUAGAUCUUGAUUUCAUUUGGAUCAUUUUCUUUAUUUAUUUGAUAAUUAAAUUUGAUACUUAAGGACCGUCAACAGGCAUCAUCAAGAAAGAGGCUUGUCAACAAGGUAGCAAACAGGAAGCAAGAUAAGAAUAUGUCUUGCAAGAACAAACCCCGCACUUGCUACACUUGUCGAGGAAAGGGACAUCUAAGUAUGGAUUGUCCCAUGGGUAACACUCACAAGCCCAACUCAUCAAUUGAUUCAAAUAUGCUUAGGAGGCCCAAAAAUGACACUUGUGCUAGAAAGGUGAUUGGUUCACCAAGUGCUAGCACAAAGGCCAUUUGGGUGCCUAAGUCUCUUGUGACUAACCAUGAUGGACCCAACAUAGCUUGGGUACCAAAUUGUGCUUGAUGAGUGUUGUAGGUACUUAAAGGUGAUAUGAUGCUUCGGGGUGCUUGAGCAAGUUAACUGAAAAUAUUCACUCAAGCUAUCAACCAAUUCAUAUUGUUUCUUCUUAUAUGGUUGACCCAAAGAUAAAUUAAUGAAAUUAUUUCAAACUUCAUAUUCACCUUGGUAACUAGCACCUAAUCCUUGCUAGCUAGCCAUUUGACUUGUGUAGUCUCUGAUAGUUCACAAGUAUGUGUGUAUUUGUGAAUUAUCAAGAGUGGCUAGAGUACUUCAAGUUAAAUGAAUCAUUUGCCAUAUGAUGCUUUUAAUGGCUCUCUAGUAGAGCAAGAUCUUGUUAAUACUGUAGGUAAUGAGGAAUCAUCUUAUGAGGUAAUCAAGAAAAUUGCCACUGGUGAUAUCAGACUGAAGAAAUCCAAGUAACAGUGAUAAGGAUAUCCUCAAGCUGCUGCUGCACCUAAUUCCGCUGACACCUUAGAGCAGUAGUGCCGCCCCUAUAUAGAUAGCAGCAGGUGACAUCAGUCCAAGACAUGGAUGAAGCCCACAACAUGAUGAUAAACAAAGUCAAGAUGAAGAGACCAUCUCAUCCAUUAUAUCUCAAGAAGGGUGAAAAUUUAUGAGAAGAGGUUGUGCUUGGCUUAAUUGAAUAAUUCACAAGUUUGAAGGUUACUCUUCACCUAAAGUGAGAUGUUGCUGCUAGAGGUCAUAUUGAUCAAAAACCUGAAUUUGAAUAAAAUCAAGUUUGAGGUUGAAUUGGAUGAGUUAUAUUAGAAGAAUUCACAAGAUGACAAGUACUGAUAAGAGGACUGAAUGGAAAUUGCAUCUUGUGAGUAUUCUCAACCAAAUCCACCUCAAGAUUGGACAAGAAGCAAAGAAGAAUUGUGAAAUAUUAAAUCUGUCCAGAAAUUUGAAAAUUUGAAUUGGCUGCCUUCAAGCAUGGAUUUGGAAGUCCAAACACUGAUGAAUUGACCUGAAACAUUAUGAGAAUGACACACAUAUCUGAUACUUGUUGCUGUACAGUUUACAUGAAGAUUGGUUAAGAAGAAAAUCAGUUUUGAGUUGAAUUCUGUCAGCUUCAGCAUUGCAGAUUCAGACCAUAGCAGUUUUGGUAGAAAAUUAUUUUGACUAAUCCAAUGGAGUCCAAAUGAGAUGAAAUUUAUACAGAAGUUAGAGGACUCAUAGAUGAAGGUCUCUACCAAAUUUCAUGCAUAUUGGGCUAGUGGUCUGAGAGAUAUGAAUUCUUCUCUGAGGAUGACAGAAUCUGAAAACUGACUGUUUGGAAUUGGAUUGCAGUGUAACAAGAUUCAGUUGGCUCUCAAGUUGGUCAUGAAAGAUUUAUUAAAAAUGAGCAGCAUCAGUUUCGAAAAAGGAGUUUCAUUGGAAGAAGAGAACUCAUACAAGGAUCCAAACAAGUUGCAAUCAGAUUACAAGUAGUAGCAAAUAAUUGCAAUUAGUUGUUAGAAGAAUUCAAAUGCAGUCUGUCAGAAACAGCAGCUAAGAUCAGUUGAAACUUGAUGAAACUAGUUGGCUUCAGCAGUGACAAGUAGCAAAAAUGAGUUACAAUCAGAUGGUACUAGCUGAAAUCAAUUGGAAUCAACUGAAACUAGCUGAAACUAAUUAAAUUACAGCAGCCUGAAGGAGUUUGAAACCAGUUGGAAUGCAGUGUAAACUUCUCCCUUAACCUCAUGGUAUUGAUAUGCAUGAGUGUACUCUAUGUACUCUUGUAUGCACAUAUUAAGGGGGAGUUUAGACUAUAUCUUUUAAGACUAUUGGUUUCUUUCAAGUGUAUGUUGUGCAGUCCCACACAAUGGAAAAAGGAAGAUGGAUGAUUCCAAUGGAUUCUCUUAGUGUUUCACAACUAUUCUAGGAUCUUGGUUUUUAUAAACCAAGUGCUCCCAGUUUAAUGUUGAAUGCCCCAAUCCUUUAGUGGAACUGGAUUUGAAUGAGUUGGAGACAAUAAUUAAAAAAUGGGCUUUCUUUUCUAUUUCUUCUCUCUAGAGCUCAUCAAGUGUUCAUGAACCAUUCCAUUGAUCACCUAGGAUCUUGUCAACAAAGAGUGGUAACUCCUAGUUCACAAUUUGCAAAUUUCAUGAAUUUUACCUUUUGCUCUUUGUGGGUUGCCUUAGGUAAAGAAAGAACUAGGAACAUAAUUUCUAUCUUGGAUGAUCAUAAGAGCUCUAAGUCAUGACAUGUCAUCAAUUGAGAAAUAUAUGGCCAUCCAAAUCACUGGAUUCUCACUUAUGAUGGUCAUAUAAAUAAAAAUAUAUGUGGUGAUCUAUCUACCUUGGUGGUGGUAUGUUUCCUUGGCAAAAUUUCAAUUGUUGCAAAUUUAUGAUGCCUUGACCAAGAUAUAGGAUGAACUCCUCUUGACUCUUAAACCGAUUCAAAUGCACUUUACAAGUAAUUCAAGUACUUACUGCAUAUAUUAAGGGGGAGCCCAUUCUAUGUCCUGUGUCUUUGAGACUAACCUUUUCUUCUAGUGAAUUUGUGUAAUCUCUUGGUGAGAAUAAGUUUCUCAUGCGUAUGCUACAUUAACUCAAUCCAAUUGGGUAAAGAUAUCUCUCACAUUUACUUGGAUUGCAAUUUUAUCUCUUAAGUAGCUACUCUCCAUAAUAUAGCUUAAAUUCCCUUAUUUGGACUUAAUUGACCAAAAGUGCAUAUGUCUUGCCUUCCACAUAUAUAUGUAUGCACUAUCAAAAAGAGGGAAUUAGUAUAUGUUAUGAGGUUUUGCAAUUAGUGACUUACAUGCCUUCUACAUACAAAAGGUCACUAGUUGUGAAACUCCAGCUUGUGCAAUUUGAUGCUAUCUCUUGUCUUGUGAGCAUUACCUAGGUGACAAUAUGAGAUACAAGAAUCUAUUUCAAUUGGCAUCAACUUGUGAAGACUCUUUUAUUGGUGUCAAAAUUGUGAAGACCACAUUUCAUUUGGUAUUGGUGGAUAUUUUUUUAAAUUUGGUAUAUCAAGAAAUAUAUCUUCAAUUAGUAUCUCAUAAUGACAUCAAGAUCUAGCAAUGGACUUUCAAUCAAAAUCAAGCACAAGUUUUGGUUAUCUCCUUAAAGAUGAUGAUGAAAAGAGAUGGGCACAUGAAAUCUUUUUGCAUAAAGAAAUGCUAAGCCCAUCAAAGCUCCAAAUUCAACUCAUGAAAAUCAUUAUCAUGGUGGAGAUUCGAGGCUUAGAACAAAGGUAUAUUGCUCCAUGAACUCUUGUAUUACCUUUGUGCAUCUAGGCCCUUACAUGCUAGUGUGUGCAUGUGUAUGCAAUAUUUGAGCCACACCAUGAGUUUGUUCUUAUGGUCACGAUUAGAGAAUGAUUUAGAUAUUUGGUUGAUACCUCUGUGGUGAUAAAGUGAGUUUGUCUCAUGUUAGAACUAUCAUCUAAGUGAGGUAUGAGCUAAAUAUACUAACUUCUCAAGAAUCUUGACUUAAAGUGUUGCAUACUUUGUUUGGUAGAAAACUCAGGAGAGAAAUCCUAUAUGCUGAAUUUUUACCUACCUCUUGCCCUCACUUGUCUGCCAUUAUUUCUUCCUCUGGGUGGAUAGAUCCUUUUUGGAGAUUAAUGCCAAAGGGGGAGAAAUAUUGGGGGAGAGUGUAAGGGAGGAGAGAUUGAUAUGCGGAUUUAAAGGGGGUAAAAGAGAGGCAUAUAAGAUUUUUUCAAUUUUUGUGUGGAGUGUGCAAAGAUAGUUUAAAUUGAUGCUCUUGAUAAGGAAAAAUUUAUGCUAGUGUGUGAUAUUCAUGCCUUGAAUGAUGUAUUGUUUUUGUUUUCUCUGAAGUGCAUGAACUGUCAUGAGCAUCACGUUUAUCUUGAUGACACCUUGCACCCCACGAAUGCUAAGAUAUAGAAGAGUUUCCACACCUUUUCUUAAAUAAGUGCAUUUGGCAUGUGAGGCCAAAAUUUGAAUUCCAUUCAAUGCACACAUUUAGGGGGGAGUUCACUAUAUCAGAGGAUUCAAAAUCUUAUUAUUUAUCAAUCUCUUGUAAGCUUUACUUGUGUUGUCAUCAAUCACCAAAAAGGGCGAGAUUGUAAGUGCAUCUAGCCUUUUAGUGGGUUUUGGUGAAUUGAAUGACAACACAAUUAAAGGUCUAACAUCUAGCCCUUUAGUGGGUUUUGGUGAAUUGAAUGACAACACAAUUAAAGGUCUAACAAGUUUGAUAAGUGUAUCAAAGGGUCAACAAGAAAGCAAACUUGAUGGUAUUUCACACAAUGUUCAAAUGAAGACCAAAGUUGUGUGUUGGUGUAAACUGAAGCUUGAUUGGUAUCAACACUCAUACCAAGAAGAUAUUCAAGCAAGAAUCACAAUAUUGAAGAAACAGUUUUUCAAUGGAUGCUUAACAUGAUGUGACUUGAGUAUGGCUUGAUAGAGUGAAGAUAGCAAGGAAAAGGCUUCGAGGGACUAAGCGAAGUUUAAGGUCAAGCAAUGGCUUGUAGACCGAGGUACCAUGGCUAAGGUGAAGAAGAGAGUACUUGCAUUGAGUCGAGGUACUAAUUAAGCUAUGAGGAGUCAUAUUGUGUUGAGGAUCAAAUCUUUUAUCAAAGUGACUUGAAGUCAUGGAUUGAACUCAUAUAUGUUGAAAUGAUUCAAGUCACAUGCUCAAGCUAUAUUUACUCAAAGAAGAGGAGACAAAGUUAAUUGCAUCCUUGAUGAAGUGAUAUUGAGAAGAAGUGGCAUAUGAAGACAUUGAAGACUCAAGUGGUUAAAAUGGUUAUAUACUUUUGACCUUGAGUUUAGGAUUUGCCGCACUAUAAACAGGGAUGCAAAUUUAGUUGGUUUGAGGAAGAUAGAGUGCUCAAGUAUUAAAACUAAAUCAAAAGAGAGACAAUCUAACACUUGCACGCACGAACAUCUAGGAAAUUUCUUCUCUGCCAGGGUGACCCGGUAGUACCACCCCUCAGGGCCGGUGGUACCGGCAGUGCCAGCCCUUUCUCCUGAAUUUUGUGAGAAAAUGAACUACCGGUAGUACCGGGCUCGGGCCGGUGGUACCGGCCAGCACCAGUAGUACCGGUGUGAAACCCGGCAGGCCAAAUCUGCACUGACUUUGGUUGCGGAGACUUGAACUGCCGGUGGUACCGGCCUUCUACCGGUGGUACCGGCAAUGGUCGGUAGUACCGACAAAAGCCCGGUGGUACCGGUAGGCUUAUUUCUCGCAAAUCAUAGAGACUUCUUACCGUUAGAUCUGAGGUAGCCGGUGGUACCGGUGGUUGCGCCGGUAGUACCGGCAGUUGUUCUGAACACAUGUAUAUAUAGCUUUCCCCUCAUUCUAACCGUUGGCUUACUCUUCCGCUCGACCAAACCUUCAGCCAAGGCACCUCUCUAGCUCCCAAAAGCCCCUUUCUUGUAUCCCCUUUGCUCCUAACUUCAAAUCUUGCAAGGGAUUGAGGGAGAGAAGGAUUCUUGGUGAGAGAAACAUCAAAGCAAAGCUUGAGCACUUGAUUUCUUCGUCAAGCCGGUUGGAUUUGUGUUUGUUACUCUUGGAGCAAGGCUCCUAGCCGGCUAGGCGUUGCCCAUAGAGCUUCCUACUCAUGUGGUAGCCUCGGGAGGUUUGUAAUCACUCAAAUCAUCUAGUGAAAUCACCCCUCAUCUCAAGGGAUUGCUCUCUUGACUUGAGAACGAGGAUAGGGUUGAAAGAGACCCGAAAAGCCUGUGUGGCUUCCUCAACAACGUGGACAUAGGCAAGCCUUGGUGGCGAGCAGAACCACAGGAUAAAUAUCUUGUCUUUCUGUGGAGGUAGCUUCGACUACCCUUUUUCUUGUGUUCUUUAUGUUCUUCCUAUCUACCCUGUUCAUAGGUGAACAAGGGCCGAUCUAUGUUUUGGAGAAGAACCAAGGCAAGGGAACUUCAACAUCAUCCUCUACUACAUCUAGGAGAGUGGGGUAACUCUCAGAUCUGGAAUCAAAACUCAAAAUACUCUGAUUUCGUAGCUCUCUUAGGGUGUCGGUAGUACCAACAGUUGCGUCGGUAGUAUUGGCUGUCUUACACCAGUAGUACUGGCCCAAACUGUUGGUGGUACCGACAGGCAUUUAAUUUCCGCAACUUGAGUUUUGAGUUUCAGGUUUUUUCAGAUACGCCUAUUCACCCCCCUCUAGGCGACAUCAGGGUCCUUACACGUUCGGAUCUGUCAUACCGAUCAUAACCAUUGCAUUCAGAGCAAUCCCUAACAGUAGGCAACUUGAUGCUCUGUUCCCAGCAAUGGAUAAAGAACGGGCAGUUCCAGUGAUCUUUGUGCCGAUUCCACUCCUGUCGGCGUCAUUCUUCUUCCCGACGAUAAUCCUCCUGCUGGCGCCGAUACCGAUCUUCACGUUGCUGCCAAGUCUCCCGAUGCCUUCUAUGAGUUAUCACAAUGCCAGAUCGAGGAGGCCUUCCUGAGCUAUUUCCUUCCUAGAUAAAACCCUUUCCUUUAGCAUCGGCAGCAGUAACUUGAUGUUGGGGAUCCACCGAUGCACUUCUUUUAGCUGCUUCUGACAUCAAGACCUUAGUCUUUCCCUUAGCAUCCAACAUAUUCGGUGGGAAAGGAUGUUGAUCGAUCUUCAUCGGCUUCUGAGCUUUGGAAUUGUCAAACUUGAUUCUCCCAGAUUCUAUAGCCGAUUGCAGUUGUUGCCUGAAAACCUUGCACUCAUUGGUGCUGUGAGAGGUUGCAUUGUGCCACUUGCAAUAUUUCAUCUUCUUUAAUUCUUCAGCCGAUGGAAUCACAUGAUUAGGCGACAAUUUGAUUUGCCCUUCCUGAAGUAGAAAGUCAAAUAUCCUAUCGGCCUUAGUAAUGUCAAAUGCAAACUUUUCUAGCUCCUUAUGCCCAAAAGGGCAAGACAUCGACUUUUUGUUCUUCACCCAUUCUGCUAAGCUGAUGACUGGCUCCUCAUCAGAAUCCGAGCUUGCUGCUUCAUCUACAAAUGAUACCUUUUUGUUCCAUGCUCUCUUGGGUUCAAAAGGCUUAAUAUCUUGGUCAGAAAUCCUUUGCACCAAGUGACUCAGACUUUCGAACUCUUGAGAAGCGUACUUGUCUCUGAUAUGUGGCAAUAGCCCCUGAAAAGCCAAAUGGGCAAGCUGCCGAUCAUCUAGAACCAGGCUAUAACAUUUAUUCUUGACUUCCCGCAACCUCUGCACAAAGCUUUCAACCGAUUCAUCAUUGCGUUGUUUCAAUCUGACCAAAUCGGUAAUCUUCUUCUCAUGGACUCCAGAAAAGAAGUAUUUGUGGAAUUGCUUCUCUAGAUCGGCCCAAGUGAUCACUGAGUUGGGAGGUAAUGAAAUAAACCAUGUAAAAGCCGAUGCAGACAAGGAUGAUGAAAAUAGACGAACCCUCGAUUCAUCUCUGUUAGCAGCUUCCCCACAUUGAAUGAUGAACCUAUUGACAUGCUCCAUAGUUGAUGUAUCAAUCUGCCCAGAAAAUUUAGUGAAAUCUGGUACAUUGUACCGUGUGGAAUUAAAUCAUAUGCAGGAGGAUACGGUGUCCGAUAAGAGUAAGUGUUGACUUUGGGUUUUAUCCCAAAUUGGUCUCUCAUCACUUCAGCUAUCUUAUCGGCCCAAUAAGCAUCGGCAUCUUGCCGAUGAGGCGGUUGUGGAUCUGGCGCCUGCUGAUAUGUUUCCACAUGUCGUUGAGGUGCACGAUCUGCAUGGAACAUUGGGUUAACCAUCUGACCACCAGUCUGUUGACCCAGAUUCAUCGGCUGGUUGGCCAACCCUUGAUUCUGAAACCCAGGUUGAAUUUGACCUUGUUGAAACCCUAGAGCCUGAUAAUUCUGCUGAGGCAUCUGUGGAAAGACUAGCUACCCCAUCCAUCCACUGUUAGCAUUCAUCAGCACAAACCCUGCCGAUGGCUGGAAAUUGGGCAUCAUCAUGGAAUUGACAUACCCUGGUUGUGUCAUAAACCUCUGCUGCGUCGGCAUUGAGUCUGCCGAUGCGUUAGGCAUUUGGAACAUUGGAGAUUGAGAAUUCCUAGUGUACGGUCUGGCAGUAGUAGUCGUGGUAUACUGGGGACUCUGAUUCAUCGGCAGAUUUGGAGGUGCCGAUGCCAUAGGAGCCUUGUCUUUCAAGUCAGCCACUUGAGAUGUUCCAGGAGUUUUCAACAUCAUCUCAGGGGGCAUACCGUAACCCCACCAAUUAGGAGGAAUAGAUCCCGACAUUGCUGAUGCCAAUAGAUCUGAGGCAAGCUUGAUUUGCUCAUCUGAUGUUGAUGGAUUGGUUGUCAUCGGCGUAGAUUGCACAUUAGUAAGUCCUAAUGUGCUUGGAGGAACAGUAGUUUUUGUACCUGCAGCGGCUGUAGUAGCCGAUGGAGCGGUGACCAGUGGUGAUCCUAGCUGAUGAUAGGCAAGACCCACAUAAUUUGGUGGCAAUUGUCCUUCCUUGAAAGUUCUGGCAACAGCAUUGAAAAUCAUGUUGGACAGCACACCAGCUUGAUUGAUCAAGGCACGGUUAAUAGCAUUGUCAACCAUGUCUUGAAGUUUACCAGGAUUGGCUUCAAAAGUAAUCUGCCGAGGUGCCGGCAAUGCUUCCUUCUGGAUCACCUCGCCACUCCUGUUGAUGCUGAAGGAUUUCAAACAUUGAUGCUUGUAGUCCUCCAUGGCUUUUGCAAUAGCUUGCUUUUGCUCAUCUCUGAGAUUGGCUUCCGUCACAGGGAUGACGUUCUCCAGAUCGAACUCGGUAUUGGCCAUGUCGAUCUUGAUCUUGAAUCUUGUCCCACCAGGUGUGCCAAAAGAUGUGUUGAUGCAAAACUGAUCUGCAAACACAAAGGGCUAAUACCCGAUUUAAACGUUAAGGCGUGCCAGCCGAUUUGACCUUUCAAUCGACAAAGGUGGUAACUCGACCACUUUGGUCCCCACAACAGCGAUGCGCCCGGAUGUCACGGCCAAGAGGUGAUCACGCGGAACUUGAGAACGCGCCGAGCUUAAGUCGACGAAUUCCUAAGAACUCGUAAUAAAAAGAAAAUAUGGCGAAGUCGUUGAAAAAGUAGAUGCUAGAAUAUGAGUAAAAACUUGUGUUUGAUUGAUUGAUAGAUUGUUCAUUACAAGGCCCUAGGGUCCACAUUUAUACCCUGCUCAAAGAGCUACAAUCAGACACGACCAGGACUCAAAUUCCAAAUUAAAUGGAAUCCGUAUAGAAAACAAAUCUAAAUAACUAAGGAAAACAUAAAACUAUCCCCUUGUAACCGACCGGGACACCGCCACAAAUCAAUCGGCAAUCUCCACGCUUUCCUUCAGAGUCAUCGGCAGACCUACUGUUAUGGCCAUCGGCAAACACUAAUACUGAUCAUCGGCACGAACACGUCACCACCUCUAGACUUAGUCACAUUCAAUUGUCUCAUCAUCGGCAACCAUCCUCAUCGGCAACUUCUCUGCAGACUAGUUACCAUUGCUUCAUCUGCCGAUCUAUACUUUACUGAUCCCCAGGUACAUGUCCAAAAACAGUGUCAACACCUAUAAGCUCUAAUUCUGUAAUAGAACCGCCCAAAUUAUAAGAGAUUAAGCCUAAUAGUGACCAUUUGCAUAGUCGAACCAUCGAGCUUAAACCCAUAUAAUCCUGGUAGUCCGUGAAAUCUCGAAGGAUUUCAUACCACAAAUCGUACAUACAGCCAAGAUCGUAAUAAGUUUAGCAGUCACUAUUCACAGUUACAUCCAGUUUACAACAUUCAUAAAAUACAUCGGAGUUCUUCAAAUUAUUACAAACCAAGUUCUCAAGUAGCGGAAGCUUCAUAGUUUGAAAAUAACACACACAUACUUAGUCUGAUACAGUGCCAUAGUUCAGUCAUUCCCACAAAAGCAAAAGAAGAGGUAGAGUGACCAUCGGUCCAUCGCCCUUGACCUAGUCAUCGCCCAUUGCUGGGUACAAGCAGAGGAUGCAAUAACCAUAGUACAUUUGACCAUCUGCAAAACAACAUGGGAGUAGAACCCUGAGUAUGAGAAUGUACUCAGCUAGACUUACCCAUCAUAAACCAAAAAUAAAGACUUAUUCAAGGAUCAUGAAGGCUAUAUGGUGGGGGUAGCUGAUGACUUUUUGCAUAAAAGCACUAUUCUAUUAAACAUAUCCUAAAGGAAUUCUUCUUCUUUUAAUUAGCUCAAGUUGAAAGUAUCAUUACCUAUUAUCUAGGUUUGCUCCUGCACUAUGGCAAACAAAUAUAAUAAUAUGAUGGUUGUUGACACUUGCUAACACCACUUGAAUACUAGGUUGUCAUCUCCAGCAUGGCACUAGAGUGUACUAUGGUAUUUAUACGCACACAGAUAAUCCGCAAGCGCACGGAUACCGUUGAAGCUUUUACCUGGUUAAAGGUUUUAUCGUAUCCACAGGGAAACGGGAGAACCAACUACGCUCUAACUUAACCAAGAUAAGUAAAUAGGAAAGAUGGUAGAUGGUAGCACAAUAUUAAAGGUAAGAUAACAGUGAGUGAUAAUAUGGGAAUAGAGAGUAGAGCAAUCUAGUAUAUGGGCGAUGGUAGCAGAAUAGAGAGGAUAACUAUGGUUUGUCUACUUCAAAGGGAUAUUUCUAUGUCUGGGACGAACCACGUGAUAAGAUUACACCACAAAGGAUGCUUAUCCAUAGGCCGAUAAACCCUACCCGUCCUGCUAACGAGAGGUGGACUACAGAGAACCAACGUAACUGUCACCUACGCGGCCUACCACACGAUCCAGCUAGACAGGGGAUAUCCACAAGUAAUCUAGGUCUAAGCACCACGCUUACACCUAUACUACAACUCUAACCUAUAGCGUCCUAUAGAUUAGAAGUACUCAAAAGAGUUGUGAACCAGAACAUACAUGAUUAGUAAUUGCAUAAUGAAUUAGAAGUAGAUUACCAGAGUCAUCCCAUGAGCAAGCUUGAUUAGAGCUUGAUCAUGACGAAGUACAACCGGAGGAAGAACCGACAGGCCGGCCUCUCCUCUAAUCCUCCCACGCUCUCCAUCUUGCUACAAGCUAGAUCUACUCUAGUUUAGAGAAGAGAGGAGAGCUCUCAUCUCUAAACCCUAGCUUUUGCUCUGUCUAUGAAUAAUGAAUAAUGAUCAAGGGGUGCCUCCUCCAGGGGCCAGGCGGUCUGGUUAUAUAGUCCUCUCAAGGGAAUAUGGGACGUUGGAUCAAAGCGACAUAGAUUGAACGGUUAUUCUUGAUCCUUUAGGUCGGUGGAGAUCUCCCGAGAAACAAAGUCCUGUUUGGACUCCAACAGAUGGCGGGCGCCCAGGGAAACAGGGCGGGCGCCCUGCCUCUGGCCCCUCUCGGCCUCCGCUUCCUUGCCAUGGCUUCUGGAGUCUUCUAGAUGUAAGAUAAUUGCGCGGCACGUUAAUAUCUCUAUGUAAUCCCGACGUGUGGGCCUUUCUUCCUUAUUUCCUGAUAACCCCCUGCAGAAAUAGACAAACACCAAAACUCGUGGAAUUCUGUCAAAUAAAACCCUAAGUCUAGAUGUUGAUUUCAUUUGGAUCCUUUUCUUUGUUUAUUUUAUAAUUAAAUUUGAUACUUAAGGACCGUCAACAAACUCCCCCAAGCUUACCUCUUGCUCGUCCCUGAGCAAGGAUAGACUCAGCAAUGGAUCAGAAGUUGUUGCAAUAUCUUUAAAAUUUGACGGUACACAUGCUUUUAAAUAAGAUCUCAUCUCUGAGUUAGAGUAAACUGUCAAGAACUAAAACUUACUUUACCUUUCACCAUGGGACUUGUAACCGCCACUUCAGUCUUGAGUAGUUAAAAGAUAGAACAGUCUAGCCAAGUGCCAUGUCUCUUAUUGUUGAUCAGCUAUAGCUCUAGAGUUUUUGUAGAUUUUCAAAUAAAACUCAGAGAUUCCUUGUAUGACUCUCUAAAUCUCUCUUUUGUGGUAUUUCUGGAUCCUUACCAAGGCAGUGAUGGUAUAUGCCUUCUCUCAAGAUAUGUGGUAUUUGUGGUAUAAGGCAUAGUGACAUUGCCUUCUCUCUCACCCUACUCUAAUAAGGCUUUAAUAUCUGGAGCUCAUAGGUGGGAGAUAAAGUAUACAUACUUACAAGACAUUUAUUGUAUAGUCAAACCAUGGAUCGAAAGAAACAAAUCAAUAAGCCAAAUCAAGAUGUGCAUAUGUGGCGAAUGAAUGGUGUAUGGUGAUGAUGGUGAUAACAAUGGUGAAAGUCUAAUUCUACUUUUGCUCUUUUGAGGGGGUACAUACCUGUUGAUAUUUGGUAACGCAAUAAGGAAACGAUCCGCAAGCACACGGAUAUCGGAGAGCAUUUCACCCAGGAGGUUAUCCAGAGUUAUCGUAUUUAUAUUUUUACCACUGGGAGAAAGGGUGCAUCUGACUAACCAAAUCUAUUGCUACUAUCCCUUUAGGCACAAAGAAUGUCUUUCGAUGUGAGUGAUAAAUAGAGAAGACUGCAACCGUAGUCUCCUUCUAACCUUGGUAAGGAUGAUCUACUGCUCUAAUGGGGAGGCUAACAGAAUCUAGACACCACAAAGGAUGUUCAACCCGCACCUAUAAACCCUAUCCUUCCUGCUAACGAGAUGUGAUCUGCAAAGGUAAUUCGGAAUUGUCACGUUCCUCACUACUACCACGGUCCAGCUAGUCAGGGAAUAUCUAUGAGUACCCCAGCCUAAACACCACGUUUACGCCAGCAAUGAUUACUCUAAACUCUACGCGAAGAGAUUAAAGUAAACUCAUAAACCAUAAGAACAAUAAAACAAGAACUUACUAGAAUUUAGAAGUCGAAUUACUGAAGAAUCCUAGGAGCAAGCUUUGGGUAAGGAGAACUUGAUCCCGCAGGUACAAGCUUGGAGUAGACACCGACAGGCCGGGCUUCCUCCAAUCUACACCUCAGAAACUAGAAGAUCUAUUUCUACCUUACAUUGGUUGCUAAGCCUAAAAAGAAAUAUUAAUUAGAGAAGAGGUUUUCCUUCAAGGGCACCCCUCAGUCUCUAUGAUAAUUUCUUCAUGUCUUCUCCAGAGGCCAGGGGGGUCUCCUUAUAUAGUCCUCCCCUUCUAGGCAUUUUUGGGUCGAUAGGCGAGGUGGUACUAUGUUUUUCUUGAUCCAAUAGGUCGGUGGAACAUCCCGAGCGAAGAGAGUCCUAUUUGGCAUCCAACAGGGGGCGGGCGCCCAGGUCCUCAGGGCGGGCGCCCUGGGCCUGGCCCCGUUUCGCCUCCGCUUCGGUCUCGUGGCUUCUGGAGUCUUCUAGAUGGUAGAAAAUUGUGCGGUGCGUUGAUAUCUCUAUGUAAUCCUGACAUGUGGGCCUUUCUUCCUUAUUUCCUGAUAACCCCCUGCAGAAAUAGACAAGCACCAAAACUCGUGGAAUUCUGUCAGAUAAAACCCUAAGUCUAGAUGUUGAUUUCAUUUAGAUCCUUUUCUUUGUUUAUUGGAUAAUUAAAUUUGAUACUUAAGGACCGUCAACAAUACCUUCCUUGCUUUUUGAAACUUUAUGAGGAGAAUGAGAUGCUUUUCUUUUUCUUUCCUCUCAGGUGGGUAUCUUGUAACCCUAAUUCUACUGUCGAACACUUGUCCAUUUUUACCUCUCGUCUCACUUUUUCUUUCUUUCGAGGUUCCGGGCACUUGCCCCUUUUUAUUUCCUCGUUUAUUUUUUUCUUUUCUCCUCUUUUCUCUUUUUUUUCAGAGCACUCAUCUCUUGAGAUAAUAUAGCAAGUGGUAGUAGUAAGAUAACUUGAGCAUUUAUUUCACAAGGGAAAACAGAAAUAUUUUUGGCUAUUCUCUCCCGGAUUAGGAGUAGAAUAUUUUUGGGUGGUUCUGGAGAUGGACAUGGAUGGAUAUAUGUGGAUGGUACUUCCGGAGUAGAAGUAGCAUAUAUGAGUGAACAUGCAAGUGAAUCUUGAUUUAACCACAUGACAAGCUUCUAAGGGUCUACACAGCUUGACCACACUCAAUGCUCAUAAGCAGUAAAUAGUAAAUGUGUGGCUCAAAGUCUAGCAAGCAUGUAUAUAUGGCUGUGGUAGGAAUUUAAACUCUCAACAUACACGAACUCAUCAUGCAAUAUUUUAAAGAUUUUUCAAAUAUAAAAUUCUCUAGAACUCUAGCAUCUCUAGGAACAGAUAAACAGCAGCUCAACCUUCCCAUAUCAUAUCCGUUAACAACUUAGAUUUCAGAUCAAGUUUUCAUCCCACAAGUUUAGAUCUAGAGCAAGCUUUAAAUUAUAACAGUUAUGUCUAAACUUGAGAGAGAACUUCAAAUUUGCAAAUUAGGCAGAGCAACUAUUCAUCAUAUCCAUGCUAGAGUUUUAUUAUUAUGAUUCAGAUUAGCAUAGCCACUUUAUUUAUUUAUUAAACACGCUAAGCAAAAGAGAUAUAUAUAUAUAUAAGCACAAAAUUUUUAUUUGGUUUUUCAUAGUUCAUGUAUUUUAAUAUUCUAACAUAAUAUAAGUAUAAAGAUAGGUAGAAAUACUUAGCGAGAUAAAUAGGGGUGCUCUUCCCCCAAGCUGAAUUUUGACGUAAUUUCUCUUGAUGUAGCUAGCAGAUGGCAGAGGUGUAUUUGAAAGUCAGCAGUAUUCUGACAGCGAUUAGAAUGUCAUCCGUCUGCUAGUCUUCUUGAUUCUUAAAUUCUGUGGAGCUCAAAUAGACAACAAAGCUUGUGGAACUAAUUAAGUGUUAGCAUAAAUAUCUAGCCUUCAUCAUGUUGAGCUUCCUCAAUAAAUAUUACUCCCUGUUUUUAUAUUUUUAUUUUAUAAAGCAGAAAAGAAAUAUUUAUUUUAUUUUUAUGCCACCACAGUGAAGGUACUUAUUGGUUUUAUAUGCCACUCGUAUACUCACAU